rnacentral:lncRNA from 10 species
UUGGGCUUCAACUUUGGCCCCUUCCUAGCUCUCAGUUUUCUCAUCUGUAAAAUGGAAGUGACAGUACCGACUAUGAAUUAAAUGAGCCAUUGUUUGGGAACUUGGCACGUUUCCCGGCGCACGGUAUCAUACAUGCGCUACAGAGGGUAGUUAUUACUGUGGAGAUGACGAUGGCUCAGCUGGUUUUGCCCCUAGGGGGAGGGGGUGCCUGUACCCCCCAGCCUGGCUGGCAUCAUGCAGAGGACCUUCGCCUGGCUGUUGGACCGCGUGCAGCACCUGGGUGCCCCUGUCACCCUUCGCGCCUCUUAUCUGGAGAUCUACAAUGAGCAGGUUCGGGACUUGCUGAGCCUGGGGUCUCCCCGGCCCC